CGGAAGGAGGGUGAUUGAUCAGUGCGCUGUUCCCGGCGCUCUGUCCCGUUAUUAGAGGCGGCCAAAGCAGGGCCACGCAAUAACCUCGGAAUCGCCAACUAAUUGACGCUGCAGGCAACUACUUCAUUGUGCGCGCUGGUUUUAUGUCUUCAUAGCCGGUGAUUGACAAGGUGUAAUUAGUCAUCUCACUCGGUGAUAAACAUGGGCACCCUCCUCCCGCGGCAUCAGGCCGUGUGUACCAGCAGAGGAAGCGAUAGUUGACGCUGAUAUACCAUUAAAUCAAAAUGAAGACGUUCAGAAGUGUGUGUUUGCUGUGACGCUCUGAUGGUUUAUUUCUCAAAUACGGCACCAACAGAUUUACUUGAUUUGCAAGUUAACUACAACAUUAACUGGUUUUAUUUAUUUUGCCUCUUCUUUCCUUUUCCUAGGCAGGGAUGUUGCUCUUGGAGAAUGUGAAGACAGUUUGCUUCUUGACAAGCGAGCGAACGGGCGCCCAGAUUUUUGCAGCCUCUCGAAUCUCCCCCGAGGGAAAGGCAGGAAGAGAAAACGCCUGAUUUGGGAGCCACCAGGGAAGGAUUCCGCAUAGGGGGAGCCACCCUCUUUGGCCCCAGAACGGCCUGCCUGGGGGCCCCCUUUGGGCACCGCCAAAGGACCUCCUGAAACACUGAGGAUGGCGCUGGAGACUGGGGUGGGAAAGCCUCUUGGAUAAUAACUGCAAAGUAGAAAGAGGCCAAAACAACUGUUUCUUCUCUGCCUUAGAGCAAGAAGAACUGCGUCCUUAAAGCUGUUGGCUGCAGUCACAGGGCGAGUGUAACAUCUCCUGUUCUCAGGGUUACACCACUCAGCAAAUUAUUCUCCUUGCUUGCGAAGUGGGUCUUGCUUGGGGGGGGGGGGCGGUGUACGAAGUGGGAGGGGGGGAGGUGUGUGUGUGUUUAUGGGGGUGUGUCCCUCUACAGUGAGGCUGCUGCUGGAGGGGCUGGUUAUUCAUUUCAGAAACCUGGUGGUUUAAAUGUUAAAAAGGGAAGGAGCAUUGCUGGUUGGGAUUGCUGUGGUCUGUCUUGACCCUAAUUCUGGUUAGAGAAUGGCAGGGACUGAACAAAGCCACCGACAUCUGAAAGUCCACUUCCAAUGUCCCACAUAUGCCCCCAGGAACCUCCCAGUGGGAUAAGCUUCCUGCACUUUCCUUUCUCUCUAACCCCUGUCUCACAUUUGUAUAGCAGGAAAAUGGUGAUUCCUUGCCACCACCACCGUGCAGGAAUGUGAGGUUGUAGACAUCUCCAAGAAGAGAUGG
rnacentral:lncRNA from 1 species